rnacentral:rRNA from 1 species
UACGGAGGGUGCAAGCGUUAUCCGGAUUCACUGGGUUUAAAGGGUGCGUAGGCGGCCUCAUAAGUCCGUUGUGAAAGUCAAAGGCUCAACCUUUGAAAGCCGAUGGAUACUGUGAGGCUAGAGUCCGGAAGAGGCGAGUGGAAUUCCUGGUGUAGCGGUGAAAUGCGCAGAUAUCAGGAAGAACACCCGUGGCUAAGGCGGCUCUCUAGUACGGUACUGACGCUGAGACGCGAAAGCGUGGGGAGCGAACAGG